AGUGUUAUUGGAGAGCAUACGCUGUAGGAGAUGUGGAAAAAAUGGCAUUGGUGAAACUAGCAAAGCUGCAUGAACAGAUGAAUGAAUCAGAACAAGCAGCUCAGUGCUAUAUCAAAUACAUCCAAGAUAUCUAUUCUUGUGGGGAGAUAGUGGAGCACCUAGAAGUGAGCACUGCCUUCCGCUAUCUGGCACAAUACUACGU